ACGUAGGGAGCAAGCGUUGUUCGGAAUCAUUGGGCGUAAAGAGCGCGUAGGUGGUUUGUUAAGUCUGGUGUGAAAGCCCAGAGCUCAACUCUGGAACUGCAUCAGAAACUGACAAACUUGAGUGUGGGAGAGGAGAGUGGAAUUCCCAGUGUAGAGGUGAAAUUCGUAGAUAUUGGGAGGAACACCGGUGGCGAAGGCGGCUCUCUGGACCACAACUGACACUGAGGCGCGAAAGCUAGGGGAGCGAACGGG
rnacentral:rRNA from 1 species